rnacentral:rRNA from 1 species
GAUCAUGGCUCAGGAUGAACGCUGGCGGCGUGCUUAACACAUGCAAGUCGAACGGACUUUUACAUGAAGCCUAGCGAAUGUAAAGUUAGUGGCGGACGGGUGAGUAACGCGUGGGUAACCUGCCAUAUGCUGGGGGACAACAGUUAGAAAUGACUGCUAAUACCGCAUAAGCGCACAGUAUCGCAUGAUACAGUGUGAAAAACUCCGGUGGCAUAUGAUGGACCCGCGUCUGAUUAGCUGGUUGGUGAGGUAACGGCUCACCAAGGCGACGAUCAGUAGCCGGCCUGAGAGGGUGAACGGCCACAUUGGGACUGAGACACGGCCCAAACUCCUACGGGAGGCAGCAGUGGGGAAUAUUGCACAAUGGGGGAAACCCUGAUGCAGCGACGCCGCGUGAGUGAAGAAGUAUUUCGGUAUGUAAAGCUCUAUCAGCAGGGAAGAAAAUGACGGUACCUGACUAAGAAGCCCCGGCUAACUACGUG